rnacentral:rRNA from 1 species
AGCAGCCGCGGUAAUUCCAGCUCCAAUAGCGUAUAUUAAAGUUGUUGCAGUUAAAAAGCUCGUAGUUGAAUUUCGGGAUCAAUUUAUUGGUCGUGCUAUUGUACGUACUGGUAUUAUUGAUUCCUACCUUCUGACGAACCAUGAUGUCAUUAAUUUGGUGUCUUGGGGAAUCAGGACUGUUACUUUGAAAAAAUUAGAGUGUUUAAAGCAGGCUCACGCUUGAAUACAUUAGCAUGGAAUAACGAAAUAGGACGUUUGAUUCUAUUUUGUUGGUUUCUAGGAUCGACGUAAUGAUUAAUAGGGAUAGUUGGGGGCAUUAGUAUUCAAUUGUCAGAGGUGAAAUUCUUGGAUUUAUUGAAGACUAACUACUGCGAAAGCAUUUGCCAAGGAUGUUUUCAUUAAUCAAGAACGAAAGUUAGGGGAUCGAAGACGAUCAGAUACCGUCGUAGUCUUAACCAUAAACUAUGCCGACUAGGGAUCGGAUGAUGUUAAUUUUUUAAU